CAGGGGGGUCCUAGCAUCCUGCUUUGCUGGGUGUUGCCACGGAAGUCUAUGCAAUGUCGGUGACGCAAUUCCCAGUCAACCUACAACAGAUGCAUCAACCUUCGAUACAACAACGCAUCCACCGAGCAAAGGUAAGUGUGGUAGCGGAACAGCCAAGUAUUGACGACUUUUGUUUUGAUCGUAAUUUCUCGUGAGAAUCUUUUACCUUUGCUUCAUGAUAGACUCGUUAUCCUAAAUCGCAAUAACAACGUAAUAGUUACUGAUCAAGGUUAAACUUUUUAUUUGGUAUCUUGCAGCUAGUCGAUAUAAUUUUCGUGAUCAAAGUUGAGGAGUUAUAUUUGUUUACCAUAACAAAAAUAACCUUCAACAACAGUCGCUGAAUUCAAACAAUACUUUAUGAAGACUGUUUGUGUGUUUGUUGUUAACUACAUCCAUUGCAGAGCAAGAUGGAAUGUUGUCGAUCUUCGCAACAUUACCCAACAUGGUGCACAUUAAGCACAGCAUUGCUGUGCUCAGUAAUGUUGUGUGUGUUUUUCAGCAAUGUUGGCGGUGUUUACACGGGACAACAUCGGUGCAACAUUGCUGGAACAACUUGUGUAUUCGACCACAAUCCAAAAGAUGCUUCCUUGGUGUUACAACAACACUUUAUUACUAGACACAGCAUUUUUCGUAGCCGCCUCCGCAAACAUCUUUAUUUCCUUUUUGGGAAUCCUGUGGGAAAGAAAAGCGAAAUUUACUCGUCCCAGUCACCUUUCCUCAACACAGGAAGCCCUGUCAUCUUGAAAGAAAUCAAUAAAGGAGAUGGGUGUGGAGCUACAUUUUCCUCUGUAAUACUGCGUUGUUUGUACCUUAUGUUACAACACGAUAAGGAUUCAUAUUCUAUGUGAAAAUAAAAACUGCAUUGAUAUCCUCCAAAAAGGGACAGAAAGAAGGGGAAACCAUCGGGAUUUUUUUCGAGUAAAAUCGAUAAACAGCCCGUCAACUCGUUUCCCUCUUUGGUAGAUCUGACAAGUGUCACUUCUUUCAACAUCAUCAUUUUAAAUAGCUAUCCCAAUUUUUCUGCCAUUCAACAGUCAAUUCGUUUAUAUAUUUGAUUAUAUACUAAUACCCUGUUUUUUCUUCCUAUAUCUCGGAUAUAUGGCGGCUCACAUCUUUGAAGACACAGCCUUGGUGGCCUUGGGUGUUACCGAACAGACGGUAUACAAGUGAUUACUUUGUAUCAUUUGACAGAAGGCCAAUAGAAUUUAUCAUUAUGCACAAAGGUUAAAAUGAAGCAGUUUCAAUCAGUGUAUUUAGGAUGUACAAGAUAUACAAGCCUUUAUUAAAUAAUAUGUUGAUGAUGUAGAAGAAAAACGUUUAAUUGAUUUAUUUAUUCUUCUGUAAAAAAAACCUUUAAAUUCUACUGUGCUUGUUACGAGAAUCUAUAAAAACAAUACAAUUCCUCGGCUUUUACUGCAA